rnacentral:rRNA from 1 species
UACGUAGGGGGCUAGCGUUGUCCGGAAUCAUUGGGCGUAAAGCGCGUGUAGGCGGUUCGGUAAGUCCGCUGUGAAAGUCGGGGGCUCAACCCUCGAAUGCCGGUGGAUACUGUCGGACUAGAGUACGGAAGAGGCGAGUGGAAUUCCUGGUGUAGCGGUGAAAUGCGCAGAUAUCAGGAGGAACACCAAUUGCGGAAGGCAGCUCGCUGGGACGUUACUGACGCUGAGACGCGAAAGCGUGGGGAGCAAACGGG